CCAGUGUGGACGGGGAAACGUUGGAUACAGGGCACCCAAGAAUGGACAGACACCAAGGGAUGUAUCACGCCCCAGUAUCCUGAGUUCUUCCAGGAGAAAGAAGAUGGCAUAGAAGAAGUGAGGGAGAGAGCAAACGUCUGACUCUGGGGUGCUUAUCUGUGUGGAAGAGACCGGUUCUUCCUGACUGGCUUCAUGUCCCUCAAGGUGUUCUCCUAGCUGCUCAAGUAUUUACCCGUCUGUGUGUGACUCAUAUCCAGGAACCCAAGCGGCUUUCCUCAAUAGAUUGCUCCUUCAGAAGAUGAGCCUCCCCU